CAUAUUUAUUUUCAUAAAUCUUCAAAAUAAUUAUUAGCUCGGCUUUUUUCGGAGAAAACUCGAGGCAUUGUCAUAGCCAGCUUGUUGUCUGCCGUCCGCGGGUGUCGUGCUAAAACUUUGACAUUUUGCUCUAAAAUCAAAGUGCUUCCACCCAUAACUCUGAAACUUCAUAUGUGGAUGCACCUUGAUGAGUUCUACACGCCACACUCAUUUUGAGGUCACUAGGUCAAAGGUCACUGUAACCUCUAAAAAAAAAAAAAUCUGACAAGCUUUCAUAUAUGCACCCGAGCCGAGCGUUGGCACCCGUUAUGCGGUGCUCUUGGUUUUUUAACCAGGUUUUCCGAAGGAAAAAACUGGUUAUUAGAUUGGCGAAUGCGGGCGGGCUGGCUGGCGGGCUGGCUGGCUGGCGGGCUGGCGGAAUAAGCUUGUCCGGGCCAUAACUAUGUCGUUCAUUGUCAGAUUUUAAAAUCAUUUGGCACAUUUGUUCACCAUCAUUGGACGGUGUGUCGCGCGAAAUAAUUACGUCGAUAUCUCCAAGGUCAAGGUCACACUUUGAGUUCAAAGGUCAAAAAUGGCCAUAAAUGAGCUUGUCCUGGCCAUAACUAUGUCAUUCAUUGUGAGAUUUUAAAAUCAUUUGGCACAUUUGUUCACCAUCAUGGGACGGUGUGUCCCACGAAAGAAUCACGUCAAUAUCUCCAAUGUCAAGGUCGCCACGACUAAAAAUAGAUUUAAAAAAAAAAAAAACUAACAAAGGGGGUUAAUUUUUUUUGGUCAUUUCAAAAGUU